rnacentral:rRNA from 1 species
AAAGGAAUUGACGGGGGCCCGCACAAGCGGUGGAGCAUGUGGUUAAUUCGAAGCAACGCGAAGAACCUUACCAGGUCUUGACAUCCCGAUGCUAUUUCUAGAGAUAGAAAGUUACUUCGGUACAUCGGUGACAGGUGGUGCAUGGUUGUCGUCAGCUCGUGUCGUGAGAUGUUGGGUUAAGUCCCGCAACGAGCGCAACCCCUAUUGUUAGUUGCCAUCAUUCAGUUGGGCACUCUAGCGAGACUGCCGGUAAUAAACCGGAGGAAGGUGGGGAUGACGUCAAAUCAUCAUGCCCCUUAUGACCUGGGCUACACACGUGCUACAAUGGUUGGUACAACGAGUUGCGAGUCGGUGACGGCGAGCUAAUCUCUUAAAGCCAAUCUCAGUUCGGAUUGUAGGCUGCAACUCGCCUACAUGAAGUCGGAAUCGCUAGUAAUCGCGGAUCAGCACGCCGCGGUCGAAUACGUUCCGGCCUU